rnacentral:rRNA from 1 species
CCUACGGGUGGCAGCAGUGGGGGAUAUUGCACAAUGGGGGAAACCCUGAUGCAGCGAAGCCGCGUGAGUGAAGAAGGAUUUCGGUAUGUAAAGCCCUAUCAGCAGGGAAGAAAAUGACAGGACCGGACCAAGAAGCCCCGGCUAACUACGUGCCAGCAGCCGCGGGAAUACGUAGGGGGCAAGCGUUAUCCGGAUUUAAUGGUGGUAAAGGGAGCGUAGACGGUUAUGCAAGUCUGGAGUGAAAGCCCGGGGCCCAACCCCGGGACUGCUUUGGAAACUGUGUGCCUGGAGUACAGGAGGGGCAGGCGGAAUUCCUGGUGUAGCGGUGAAAUGCGUAGAUAUCAGGAGGAACACCGGCGGCGAAGGCGGCCUGCUGGACUGAAACUGACGUUGAGGCUCGAAAGCGUGGGGAGCGAACAGGAUUAGAUACCCGAGUAGUC